AACGAACGCUGGCGGCGUGCUUAACACAUGCAAGUCGAACGCGAAAUUUUUUCUUCGGAGAAAAGAGUAGAGUGGCGCACGGGUGAGUAACGCGUAAGUUAUCUACCCUCCCAUCUGGAAUAACUCACCGAAAGGUGUGCUAAUACCGGAUACGUUGGAAACAAGAAAGGUGGCCUCUAUUUAUAAGCUACCGUGGGGGGAUGAGCUUGCGUACCAUUAGCUAGUUGGUAGGGUAAUGGCCUACCAAGGCAACGAUGGUUAGCGGGUCUGAGAGGAUGAUCCGCCACACUGGAACUGGAACACGGACCAGACUCCUACGGGAGGCAGCAGUGAGGAAUAUUGCGCAAUGGGGGAAACCCUGACGCAGCGACGCCGCGUGGAUGAUGAAGGCCUUUGGGUCGUAAAAUCCUGUCAGAUGGAAAGAAAUGCUAUAGUAUUAAUACUGCUAUAGUUUGACGGUACCAUCAAAGGAAGCACCGGCUAACUCCG
rnacentral:rRNA from 1 species